UUGAAAUCGGAAAAAUGGAGCAAAACCGAGCACAUGCGUGAUUACCUAGAUAAUACGAAACAGAGAAAGAGCAGAUCCUUCAAUCGUCGGCGCCGGUGUCCGCGUCUGUAAAUUAAUUGGGUACGGGAGGGGUCUGUGGUAGUAAUUGUCUGCAAAUUCAAAAAUUUAUAUAAAACUCAAGGUGUAGAGCAAUAUGGGACGGAUGAAAUCCGCACCUUUCCAAAUCGAUCACUACCAAUUACUUACCCUGAUUCAUGGAUCUACAGCGAUGGGGAAGAAACGUUUGCAACCAUGGAUGAAGCACCUCCCAAAUUAGGGCCCUCGAGAUUGAAAGAGAGAUAUACUGAAUCUGCCUUCUUUUGCAGCCAUGGAUGAAUCUGUAGUUGUUGAGAAGAAGGGUUUGCAGCCAUGGAUGACGCACAUCCCUAAUUUGUGUCAUCGAAAUUCAAAGACAAAGACUGAUUUUGCGCCUACUGUUUGAGAAAUUGCCUAUGUGAAGAUUAUGGAAACUGGUGCGGAUUUGAAGAUG
rnacentral:lncRNA from 1 species